AUUGAACGCUGGCGGCAUGCCUUACACAUGCAAGUCGAACGGUAGGGGGGCAACCCCUGAGAGUGGCGAACGGGUGAGUAAUGCAUCGGAACGUGCCCAGUUGUGGGGGAUAACGUAGCGAAAGCUACGCUAAUACCGCAUACGACCUGAGGGUGAAAGGGGGGGAUCGCAAGACCUCUCGCAAUUGGAGCGGCCGAUGUCAGAUUAGCUAGUUGGUGGGGUAAAAGCCUACCAAGGCGACGAUCUGUAGCUGGUCUGAGAGGACGACCAGCCACACUGGGACUGAGACACGGCCCAGACUCCUACGGGAGGCGGCAGUGGGGAAUUUUGGACAAUGGACGCAAGUCUGAUCCAGCCAUGCCGCGUGCAGGAAGAAGGCCUUCGGGUUGUAAACUGCUUUUGUCAGGGAAGAAAUCCCUUGGGAUAAUACCUCGGGGGGAUGACGGUACCUGAAGAAUAAGCACCGGCUAACUACGUGCCAGCAGCCGCCGUAAAAC
rnacentral:rRNA from 1 species